GGAAAUCAAUUAUGUUCUUCUAUUUUCCCCCUUUUCUGUUUGGAUCGGAGAUUGUCGGCUGAGUUUGGGUUCUGAUCUGGCUUGGGAAUUGGUUGGAGUGGUGAAGAUGACGAACAUUAUGAUGGUGAAUCUUAGGGGUUUGGAGUGUGAACCAUCACCACCAUCACCACCACCACCACCACCACCAACACGGUCACCUCAACCAAUCCUAGUCAUCGGUCGCAUAGACAACAAAAUCGUGGCCGUCGAGGUGGAAUUUAUCUACAAGGUCAGUGUUAGGGUAAUUAUUGAAUCUGCUGCUGGUUCAGUGUUGGGUGAUAUUUUUCAGCUCCAAAAGAACAGGCCCAUUAGCAAGAGGAAGACUUUCGGGUAAGUCAUAGGCUUAGAACUCUCAAAUUUUAUUUACCCCCUAUUUUGAGUGCCAUUUUGAUUUUUCUUUUUGUGUCAAUUCCAGAAAUCAUUAAAUUUAAAUUGAGUUUUAAGAUUAACAAAAUUUGUACAACUUGUAUAAGUAGAAGUUUAUAAUAUUCACAAUUGUAUGGGUUGAAAUAAAAUAAAUCCACUUUUAGUUUUAGGAUUUCUGACCUCUAAACAAGUCAAAUUUGACUCUUUGUUUGGAACUGAGGGAGUAUUUGUUAAUGGGCAUGUGUCAUAUACUGAAAUCAUGGUGUUUUAUUACUUGAAUUAGAUUUUUUUAUGAUUAGAUGAUCUUGUUCUCAAGUCAUGCCUAAUAAUAUUGCUCUUUAUAUUUGAAUUGAAUUGGCUAGUUCAAGGUUUUAUUUUCUAAUAAGUUUGAAUUGAAUUGGUUAAUUUGUUACGACUAUAUUGAUUCUGUUCUGUUGUUAUGAUUGAUAGUAUUACUUUUGAGCUUGAACUAAGUUGGAUUUUGUAUGAUUUUAGUUUCUUUAUGUUUUCCUAACUUUGUAGAUCGGUAAUGGUUUUAGUUUGUUUCUGUGUUUCUGUGUUAAUAGGCAUGUCUUAUUUGCUUAAUAACAAUUUGUCUAAAUUAAUUCAGUGCAACUACAGAAGGCAAAGUUACUAAAGGUUAGACAGUUUUAAGAUCUACACAAUGUUUAGAAAUUCAUGGGGACUCCUGUUGAAAACGUGUGAUGAGCAGUAUUAAAUUACUAAACCAUUCCAAUCCAACUAAUCAUAUGCCUAAAUUGUGUUCGUUUAUCACCCUUUAAUAUUUUUCUUUUUCUUAUGAUCAGAGCAUAUGUAUUAUUUCUCAGUUAUGUAGGUUUGAUAUUUUUGCCCAUCCAACUUGAUGUUAUCAUUUGUUAUCCAUUGGAUCACAGUUAAAACAUCAUAGGUUGCCUCAAAUUGACUGAUAUGUGGCACUUUGCGCUUCAUUGCAAUAAGCAUUCAGUCACAUGCAAACUCAUUCCUUCUAAACUGGUCUUCUUCUAACCUUAGCGACAUAUGGUCAACAAGUAACCAAUUUUUGGGAGAAAACUUAAUGUAUUCUAUUCCAUUUUAAUGCCAAGAAAUGCUUUCUUUGUCACAUGGUGUUGUUUUCUUUUGAGUACUCAAAAGUUACUUCCAAGUAUCAAAGUUAAAUUUAUAAACUUAAAACUUAUAGAAGUUGACAAGGAAAUAUUUUUUGUAGUUUGUGUACCAUGUCUGUCUGACAUGUCAAAAAAUGUUUUGUUGAAAUACUAAUGAUCUUGUUUAACUGAAUAAAUAAUAAUAUUUUUAGUAAUUUUCACUUAAUUUUCCUUAUUGAAAAAGGAUAGUGAGUCAUGUAGGUUGAUCCAUGUUUGUCAGCAUUAAUUCAGUGGCAUUGCUUAGUUUAGAAUCUGAUCACUCUUUCUGUGGCAACAGAAGGCCUAAACGUGCGACCAAGUGUGUAUGGUCACAAGACUGACACUCAAAGAGUAAUUGUUGGACCCUGCACAGGCAGUAUGCUGUUGUUCCUUUAUAACUACAGACUCGACCUGAAAGUCUUGCAAACCUGAAUGAGUUCCACUUUCUAGGGGUGAAAAUGUUGUAACCUCUGUUGCAUAAAUAUAGUUACUAGAAACUAAUUCACUCAUUCCUAAUUGAAGUCAUAUAGGUGAAGCUGAACCCCAUGCAAGCACCGCUGACCAAGGAGGACACACAUAUUUUGGUUAUUGCAAGUGCAAAUAAUUUCAUUUAGUGCGGGACAGGUUCACACUUAAUAGUGUGCUUUGACCUCUUACCAAUUUAAGUCAUGUUAAAGAGGUUCAUUGAGAAGUGAGCAUCUUGCGGAAUCUCCUAAAUAGUAAGUCAAUUCGGUUUUCACUUAAAUUGUUUUAAUUUAACUGACAUAAUUGUAGUAACAAUCUAGAGACUAUAUCAGAAGUCAAUAAUCAAUAUUCCCAUUUGGUAAUAUUAUUUAAGGUGCAAACUUUAUAUCAAUAGUUGUAAAAGUUGUUCCUUUUUAGAGCUGAAGUUGCGUCUCAGAAAUUUGGUUUACAUGGACAGAAUAGUUUUUUCUUCUUUCGUAAGACAUCAUGACAAGCCAUUAGUUUUAUUGGUUUCUAAGAGGAAGUACGAAGUAGAAGUAGAAGUAGAAGUAGAAGUACUAAUUGGGUGUGAAUGUGUAAGUAUCAAGGUGUAAGGCUCAAAAUCCAUAGUCAGUGGUCUUAGUUUGGCUACUCUGACCCCUCGCAUUAUCCUUCAAUUUUUGGUUAAAACUUCAUAUUUGUGUUCCUGCCUGUCAUUUGCCUUUUCCAUCUUUAAUUAUUCUAUCUUGUAAAGGACAAAUACUUGAAUAGAAAAUAGCCUAACAAAAAUUAUCUCUCAAUGCAGGAUUGUAGGUUGAUACAUGCUGGUUUUUCAUCAUAUAAUCCAGUGAUGAUGCAUUCUUGAAAGUCAAAUACAGCAUUUCAGGUGUACUGUGAAGUCUAAAAGCAUCAGUACGAUCACGAGACCGACACUCAAAGUGAUUGACCUGGCCCUACACAAGCGAUAUGCAUCUUUUUCGCUACAGCUACAGACUCAACUUGCAAGAUAUGGAAACCUAAGUGAGUUUCACUUUCCACGGGAGGAAAUUGCAGUAAUUGUUGUUGCACAAGUACUUUUUAGAGCAACAGUAAACGAGGAUCUAAUUCUCGAUUGAAGCCUUAUUAUAAGUACUCCCGUACACAUAAGCACUGCUGACCAAGGGUGACAUAUUUUGGCUUUGAAAGUGGGAGCAAUUUCAUUUAGUAUGGGACAGGUUUGCACACAGUGCUUACACCUUUCACAAACUGAAGUUCUGUUGAACAUUAGAAUCUCCUGAUAAAAUA
rnacentral:lncRNA from 1 species